GAUGAAGAACGUAGCGAAAUGCGAUACGUAAUGUGAAUUGCAGAAUUCAGUGAAUCAUCGAAUCUUUGAACGCAUAUUGCGCUCUCUGGUAUUCCGGAGAGCAUGCUUGUUUGAGUAUCAGUAAACACCUCAACUCCCUUUUCUUUUUUGAAAUGGGAGCUGGACUUGAGUGAUCCCAACGCUUUUCUCACCGGAAAGUGGCGGGUUACUUGAAAUGCAGGUGCAGCUGGACUUUUCUCUGAGCUAUAAGCAUAUCUAUUUAGUCUGCCUAAAAACAGAUUAUUACCUUUGCUGCAGCUAACAUAAAGGAGAUUAGUUCUUGUGCUGACUGAUGCAGGAUUCACAAAGACAGGCUUCGGCCGACUUUGUAAACUCGAUCUCAAAUCAAGUAAGACUACCCGCUGAACUUAAGCAUAUCAAUAAGCGGAGGA
rnacentral:misc_RNA from 1 species